GAGUGGCCCCCGGAGCAGGGUGGCGGGCCCCUGUGCCUGCACCUCUGCAAGCUUUCUGUUGAUCCCCACAGACCAUGGAGGGCGGCGGCCACUGAAUCUCCUCCCACUUCCUGCCACCAGAGUUGAAGAAUGGAUUUCUUAUGGUGUUACAAAUUUAUGGGUCUUCUGUGGAAGAAUUUUAUUUUAAAGAGACGGCGAUUGGUGGCAUUAUUUGUGGAAUUCAUCCUAGCAUUGCUAUUUGCUGGUACACUUUUGUUAACACGCAAGUUUUUGAUUAUAAAGAAGUCUGGGCCUUUCAAUUACUCUCUUCAGCCUAUUGAUGAAUUGCCUCCAUUCCUUGGAAUGCCUGACACUUUUCCUG